CGCCUGUACUACACAGAGACAUGUUAGUCCACAGGCAAACGACUUUUUGGGCUGCAGUGGAUGGCACUGGAUACUCCACGACUAACGACUGGUUCCAGAUGCCAACUGAUGAAUCACUGAUGUUUGAAAUGGAUGAUCAGAACUUUACACAGGUUGCUGGGGUCGGAUGAAAUGCCUUUUGAAUCAAAGCCCUAUGAUGCACCGCUCUAAAGCCAAAUGCAACGAUUGCCCUAAAGGAUCUGAUGGAUGUUGAAGUGGUUCUGAUGUAAAGUCUGUCCAGAUUGAGAUCCCACCUGCCUCAAAGAACCUGGAUCUGGGAUUGACUGGUUCUUGAUCUUCCAGCCGUUUGGUCUCAAGCUAAAUGACUGCUUAAUUUGAGUAACCUUUGUACCGGACUUCACAUCCUUCACUGCCACAUUUGCAUAUCCACUGAUAAGCCUGACUUUGUGCUGCUCCCAAGGUCCUUUUUAAGG